AAGACUAUAUUUCAGGGAUCAUUUCUAUAGUUUGUUACUAGAGAAGUUUCUCUGAACAUGUAGAACACCGCAGAAUGGCGGCCAU
ensembl:snoRNA U3 Small nucleolar RNA U3